UACAUACUCCCUCCGUCCGAAAAUACUUGUCGGAGGAAUGGAUGUAUCUAGAUGCAAUUUAGUUCUAGAUACACCCAUUUUCAUUCGUUUCUCCGACAAGUAUUUUCGGACGGAGGGAGUAUAUG
rfam:Triticum aestivum genome assembly, contig: Triticum_aestivum_CS42_TGACv1_scaffold_272441_3DS